AGGGUUUGUCGGCUUUAGAUAGGAAACUUUCGAGUCACGAGAAAAUUGAUGUCAAAACCCGCAAAACCCGCAAUUCUUGCAAAAAAUGAUAAUAUCGAAUAGUGAUUCUAACUUUCUAGUUUUUUGCAAGAAUUGCGGGUUUUGCGGGGUUUGACAUCAAUUUUCUCGUGACCCGAAAGUUUCCUAUCUAAAGCCGACAAACCUUUAUCUUAGUUUUUUAUGCUCUAUCGAAUGAACAUAGUCUCGAUCCGAAAUUA
rnacentral:snoRNA from 1 species